GAGGGUAUAGCUCAGUGGUAGAGUGUAUGCUUAGCAUGCACAAGGUCCUGGGUUCAAUGGCCAGUACCUCCA
rfam:Camelus ferus unplaced genomic scaffold scaffold7067, whole genome shotgun sequence.